rnacentral:lncRNA from 1 species
UGAGAUGGGUCCUGGAGAAGGAAGAGCCCAAGCUCACCUCCCCAGCAUUUCACAUACGCAGCUAAAUUUGAAGCCGUGUUCUCCUGCUCGACGUUGAUCCACUCUCUUCUCUUUUACAGCUUCUGCAGACAGUCAAGCUGCUCCCCCAAAGGCUGUGCUGAAACUUGAGCCCCCGUGGAUCAACGUGCUCCAGGAGGACUCUGUGACUCUGACAUGCCAGGGGGCUCGCAGCCCUGAGAGCGACUCCAUUCAGUGGUUCCACAAUGGGAAUCUCAUUCCCACCCACACGCAGCCCAGCUACAGGUUCAAGGCCAACAACAAUGACAGCGGGGAGUACACGUGCCAGACUGGCCAGACCAGCCUCAGCGACCCUGUGCAUCUGACUGUGCUUUCCGGUCAGUGGAGGAAGGCCCCAGGGUGGACCUGGGAGGGCCAGGACGGAUG